CAAUAAUAGGCAGUCUUCAAGAUAAUAUUUAACUCUAUGAUUUUUAUCUUCAAAUGAAGGUUUCUUUUUUAAAAAUUAAUGUUUGUAAGGAGAAAACUUCUUUUUGCACAUAAAUUUAAAUGCCCUCAAUUUUGAGAUCCUUUAAGUAAUAAACCCCAAACCAUAAACUUGAUACUGCACAAAAGAAAGAGAAAAGGAAAAUAAGUACAAAUAGUUCUGUGAAUAAAUGAGUCCAACUUUGUAAACAGUACGCAUUUUGGGAUUCUGCAAUUUUUUAAAAAUUAUCACAUAUACUGAAAAACUAUAUGUGAUGAAUUUGAAUUUUGAGUCAACAAGUUUAAUAACAUUAUUUAAAAUUUGGUAUUAAGAGUUCUGAAAGUGCUGGGCAUAGUAAAGUAUGCCUAUAAUCCCAGCCACUUGGGAGUCUGAGGAGAC
rnacentral:lncRNA from 1 species